UUUAUUCAACAACUGAAUUUACGAAUUGGUUUACCAUACAUGCCACUUCUUCGAAUGGGGUUAUAUUUAUGGUAACUUGUUGGUUUAUUUGGAAGUCUAGGAAUGACUUUGUGUUUAAUAAUAACAGGUGGAUCAAGUGGCAUUGUCUUAGCCAAAUCCACUGCUCAGUUGACACUUUUAUGCAGGUUUUUGAAUCAUCGCAUUUGCAGAAGCCGUUACGUCAUGAAUCUUAGAUUUCUCCCUUAGGAAACACUAUCAAAGUCAAUGUGGAUGGCAGCUCCCUCAACAAUCCUGGUAG
rnacentral:lncRNA from 1 species